rnacentral:lncRNA from 1 species
CCCCACCCCGCUCGCCUCGUCCGACCCCCCCCCACCUCCGUCGCCCCCAGGUUGCAGCGGGAGGUGCGUCUGGCCCAGAAGUUGGCAUAUACGGCGUAUCGGGGGAAUCAUUAUCGAUACCACCAGCCCGGAAUGGAGCCCCCCAAAGCCCGUCCAGCAGCUGUCGACGGAGUCAGAGACUGAGAACGGCGACUUUACUGUGUACGAAUGUCCCGGACUGGCACCGGU